AGUGAACGCUGGCGGUAGGCCUAACACAUGCAAGUCGAACGGCAGCACAGUAAGAGCUUGCUCUUACGGGUGGCGAGUGGCGGACGGGUGAGGAAUACAUCGGAAUCUACUUUUUCGUGGGGGAUAACGUAGGGAAACUUACGCUAAUACCGCAUACGACCUACGGGUUAAAGCAGGGGAUCUUCGGACCUUGCGCGAUUGAAUGAGCCGAUGUCGGAUUAGCUAGUUGGCGGGGUAAAGGCCCACCAAGGCGACGAUCCGUAGCUGGUCUGAGAGGAUGAUCAGCCACACUGGAACUGAGACACGGUCCAGACUCCUACGGGAGGCAGCAGUGGGGAAUAUUGGACAAUGGGCGAAAGCCUGAUCCAGCAAUACCGCGUGGGUGAAGAAGGCCUUCGGGUUGUAAAGCCCUUUUGUUGGGAAAGAAAAGCAGCAGGUUAAUACCCCGCUGUUCUGACGGUACCCAAAGAAUAAGCACCGGCUAACUUCGUG
rnacentral:rRNA from 1 species